AUGAGAUGCACAUAUCUCGUAUGACUAUUUGGUACUUACAGUGUUAGACUUUGUCGUAACGUAAAUCAAAUUUACGCUGUAUUAUUCAUUACCAAGGAUUUAGAAAGGAACGAGAACAAUUAUUUACAAAAUCUCGCUGGGAUAAAUUCUGUGAAUGUGCCCAUGAAUGGCUAAAACUUGAUGGGCGAGCGAAAUGGAUAGUUGAACAGGCGACUUCGGGUGAUAUAAUCAAACAAGGAAUUUAUCGACGCGCCAAAAGAUACUGGAUUUCACCCAACAUGCUACAGGCCUUUUACAGACAAAUUCCGAAUUGGGUCUGCCCGUAAUCGUAUAUAUAAAGAAAAAUUAAAAUCCCCGGCUACAAUCCAACCAGGGAAUAGCGGGAGUGUAGACGAUCUGGGACCUAGCUCUCCAAACAAAUUACGCUCCUGAAGCAAAAAGAAAGAGUAAAUCGGUGCUGCCUGUUGUGUGUAUUAUAUGUAAAAAACGUGACAGAUUUGUCACUGUUGGAGAUAAUAGGAAGAAGGAUGUAUUAACACAGACUCAGACCCAAACAGGCUCAGGCCAACUGUUGAAAGCUGCUGAAUUGAAAGAGGAUGAAGAUAUUUUAAGGCAUAUCAGAGGGCAAGAUUGUGUGGCCAUUGAGGUCAGAUAUCACCAAAAAUGUUAUAGGCAAUAUACAUGUACUGAAUUUCUUAGACAGUUAUCAGAAAGCAAAGAUGACUAGCCCUCCGUCGAAUAUUAAACCACAUACAAUAUAUUCUGUGAAGAUGUCAUAAGAGAAAGAAUCAUAAAUGGCCAGCAAAGUUGUCUUGUACAGAGGGAGAG